rnacentral:lncRNA from 1 species
CUCAUUUGCUUCCAUCCUGUGAACCUCUCAGUGUGUUUCAGAACACCAGGGUCUGAACAGAGAAGCUUCAGAAUACUUUCUCCGACUAGAGAACUUUUUUAUGGUGGGAGGAAAAAAUGUUGCCAGUCCCACUUCACAGACACCUGGAAUUCAUGAAGUCUGAGGACUUCUUUCAUUUUACUUUCAACUAAAAGCUCUAGCACGAAACAGCAAAGGCUCACAGAACUAAAGAUCAGGAGGUGGCCCUGUGAGAGGGUGUUCAGCCUGGAUCCCUGGUGAAACUCCAUCAUUGAGCAGCAUAUCUACUUCAGAAAGCGUGGAAAGAAAAGAGCCUGGUGGGAAAAGUCUAUCAAGUGAUAGUGACGUGCCCUUAUGGAAAAAAUUCUGGGUUCAGAAACAAUAGAGAUACCAAACAAGAUAAGACUAAGCCACAGAGGUAUCUGAAAAGCUGCCAUCAAUCAAAGCUCUUUGUGAAGCUGGUUAGUGCAGGUUC